rnacentral:rRNA from 1 species
CCUUUGUACACACCGCCCGUCGCUACUACCGAUUGAAUGGCUCAGUGAGGCUUUCGGAUUGACUCAGAGAGGUGGGCAACUACCACUCAGAGUCGAAAAGUUAUCCAAACUCGGUCAUUUAGAGG